rnacentral:tRNA from 1 species
GCCCAGAUAGCUCAGUCGGUAGAGCAGAGGACUGAAAAUCCUCCUGUCCCUGGUUCGAUUCCGGCUCUGGGCA